GAUGAAGAACGCAGUAAAAUGCGAUAAUUAAUGUGAAUUGCAGAAUUCAGUGAAUCAUCGAGUCUUUGAACGCACAUUGCGCCCCCUGGUAUUCCGGGGGGCAUGCCUGUCCGAGCGUCAUUGCUGCCCUCAAGCACGGCUUGUGUGUUGGGCUUCCGUCCCUGGCAACGGGGACGGGCCCAAAAGGCAGUGGCGGCACCAUGUCUGGUCCUCGAGCGUAUGGGGCUUUGUCACCCGCUCCCGUAGGUCCAGCUGGCAGCUAGCCUCGCAACCAAUCUUUUUAACCAGGUUGACCUCGGAUCAGGUAGGGAUACCCGCUGAACUUAAGCAUAUCAAUAAGCGGAGGA
rnacentral:misc_RNA from 1 species